rnacentral:rRNA from 1 species
GAUGAACGCUGGCGGCGUGCCUAACACAUGCAAGUCGAGCGAUCUUCUUCGGAAGAGAGCGGCGGACGGGUGAGUAACGCGUGGGUAACCUGCCCUGUACACACGGAUAACAUACCGAAAGGUAUGCUAAUACGAGAUAAUAUACUUUUGUCGCAUGGGAGAAGUAUCAAAGCUUUUGCGGUACAGGAUGGACCCGCGUCUGAUUAGCUAGUUGGUAAGGUAACGGCUUACCAAGGCGACGAUCAGUAGCCGACCUGAGAGGGUGAUCGGCCACAUUGGAACUGAGACACGGUCCAAACUCCUACGCGAGGCAGCAGUGGGGAAUAUUGCACAAUGGGCGAAAGCCUGAUGCAGCAACGCCGCGUGAGCGAUGAAGGCCUUCGGGUCGUAAAGCUCUGUCCUCAAGGAAGAUAAUGACGGUACUUGAGGAGGAAGCCCCGGCUAACUACGUGCCAGCAGCCGCCGUAAAAC